GGUGCCAGCAGCCGCGGUAACACUGGCAGCUCUAGUGGUAGCUGUUUUAUUGGGCCUAAAGCGUUCGUAGCCGGUUUAAUAAGUCUCUGGUGAAAUCCUAUAGCUUAACUGUGGGAAUUGCUGGAGAUACUAUUAGACUUGAGAUCGGGAGAGGUCAGAGGUACUCCUGGGGUAGGGGUGAAAUCCUGUAAUCCUAGGAGGACCACCUGUGGCGAAGGCGUCUGACUAGAACGAAGCUGACGGUGAGGAACGAAAGCUAGGGGCGCGAACCGGAUUAGAUACCCGGGUAGUCCUAGCCGUAAACUAUGCGGACUUGGUGUGAGGGUGGCUUUGAGCCGUCCUGGUGCCGAAGGGAAGCUGUUAAGUCCGCCGCCUGGGAAGUACGGUCGCAAGACUGAAACUUAAAGGAAUUGGCGGGGGAGCACCACAACGCGUGGAGCCCUGCGGUUUAAUUGGAUUCAACGCCGGAGAUCUCACCAGCGGCGACAGCAGUAUGAUGACCAGGUUGAUGACUUUGUUUGACAAGCUGAGGGGAGGUGCAUGG
rnacentral:rRNA from 1 species